GCGCCGGGCCACGCUCCCUCAUUAACAUCCCUCUCCGGGUGGCGCAGGGGAGCUAGCCAAAGUUCCUCGCAAAGUGGCGAGCGAAGGAUCGCUGAACACCGGCGUCUAUGCUGGGGAAGAGCUGGGCUGAGCUGGGCAGAGCCGGGCUGGAGAGGGGAACAGACGGAAGGGAAGGGCGAUAUUUUUCUCAGGGAUUUGAGCUGGGGUCUGCAUCCUGGUCGUUGCGGUCCAUUUAGCAUCCUCGCCACGCCCUGAGCGCGCUCGCGGUGCACUGGCUGCGCCCUCCCAGGGCUGAUGCUGCGUCCUGCUCCGCUGUUCUGGGACGUCGGGGGCAAAAGUGGAGGAGACGGGAGAGUCCGGGCAGAAAAAGCAGGACGCGCGUCCCAGCAAAUCUAUGAAGUGGAGAUAGUCAUUAUUCUCCUGGAACAAAUGAGGAAACUGAGAUACAGAGGAGUUAGAGAGUUCGUCCAAGUUCCAAAGGCAGUACGUGGUGAAAUCAACAUUCCAUCCUAGGUCACCCCCUGAGGCCAUAUUCCUCCCUUCGCCCCUCUGCUGUGCUAAUUCUGAAGAGAGAGAUAUUUCCCCCCUUUGAGUAUAUGUACAAAGUCAAUGUGGAAGACUCACGCAAGAUGACUUGAGUCAGCUACUCAAGGUCCAUUCGGAACCUCAAGCCUCUAGAAUUUGAGGUGGAUCAUCUGAAGGCUAUGGAGUCAAGAGGGGCAGAAUCUGUCUGGCUUCUUGCACAACCUGAGGCAAGAAGCCCUUGUUGUUCCUGAACACCACUGCCCUGGGCCCUGAAAAUGCCCACAUGACAUUCACUCAGUCCCCUACUUUAACUUCAUCAUCACCAUUGGAAACCACAGGGAGAGGAAAAACUUUUCUAUAUGUACUUAACGGCCAUUAUUCUUACCUCAUUAUUCUUAGUUCACUGGUAAAAAAUAAAGAACAAGCAACUCAGUAUUUAUACUCUAA